AAUGUUAUAUUACUCGUACGUUUACAUCUAAUAUUUUUUAACUUUCAAGUAAAAUUCAGCCUUAACUAGAUUUGCAUUCAAUCUCUUAAAUAAUUUCAAAAUAAUAGAUCAAGUUAGUGAUGUAUAAAGCGCUGUCAAAGCUUUAGCUAAAUGGUAUUUGACUUUGUCACUAAUGAUUCAGAAAAUUGUGAUAAAAUGAAAGUUUAUGGAGAACAAUGAAGUUGUUAUAAUGGCUGUUUUAUAAAAUUAAUAGAUCUGUCAGACUACAAAUGAUGUAUGAUGUGUGUGAUUUUUUAAUUUUUAAAGCAAUGGAUAAGAAAAUGGGCUAAGGAUAUAAGAUAUUUCAAGUAUUUUUUCUUAAAUAAAAAUUUUGGAAUAGAUAGCCAAGUUAAUUGAAAUAAUUAACUAAAGUUAACGUAAGUUAAAUAGAUACAAUACUGAUAAGUCAAAACUUAAGAGUUAAUAAAUUAUAAAUUAAACAAAUUAAGUUAAAAGCUUAAGUGAAAAAAAUUAUAAUUUCGAAUUCAGCUAAAAUAAAGCUUUUUAAUUUCUAAAUCAGUUUGUGAAUCAAGUGAAAUAUUUCUUCUGACUGAUUUCCAAAUUUUUAAACAGAAAUAGUAUGACUGGAGGCUUAACUCACAUAUGGGUAUUUUUGAAUACGCGUGUUCAAAAAUUACUCCCUGCCCUCGUUUAUAAAAAUUCAAUAGUGUUAUAUUUGUUGUUAUAUAAAUAUACUAUUUAGGGCGGGGGAAGUCAAUUUAGCUUAGCUUCAUUCUGGCACCUAUCAUAAA